AUCAUGGAUAGGUUUCAGGUCGUUCUGCUGAUCGACGAAUUUAGUAACCCGCGUAUGGAGAUUUUUACUUUCUUCGGCGAUUACUUGACGUAGACGGAAUGGUGGCUGGCCAUGUGGUCUUGCCUUUGUGCUCGCUAGUCCUUGUUUCUGUGCGUGUUGUUCUGUCACGAAGUCAGUUUGGUCCCAUUACGAAGCGACCGUGAGGAACCUGAGGCGUUUGAGUAACUCGCGUGCGUAUGGAUUUGUUCUCGGUAAUCGAGGAACCGACUGAAAUGCAUUGAGCAGCUGGUGAUUGGUUCUUAUUAGAACACAUUGAGGAAACCUAGAGCAGAUGCUGCAAGAAUUAGGGCAUAGUCGGCCUCAUCGAACAGAAACUUGUGAAAUACUUUGGAAGACCCGAACAUUUAAUGACACCAGAGCCACACCUUUCAGGCCUCUAGGUUGCUGUAACUUCUGAUUUAAUUUUGACAGUAGCGUGGAUGUUUGGCACUGCUACUAUGUCUAUGGGCAGGACAAUGAGAACUCUCAAUGUAGAAGCCACUGGAUGUUCGAUGGGUGAGACAGCUUGAGCACAUUGGUAUUGUUCACUAUAGAGAACUGAAUGAGGUAGUGUAUGGAACCUGGCUUUACAGUUAACUGCAUAUAUCCAUUUUUUGGUUUUCUUUGUUUUUUCACAUGGAGAUGAUCUUUUUCCAAUGGGUAGUAAGAAAUUUUUUGCUGAACCAAACGUGGUUGCAUGUUUAGUGAAAUUGAGGUUUCUGCUGAAACUUUAACUAAUACAUCAAUGCAAUGUGCAACUCCUGCUCACACUCCUGCAAAUGUUACAUUUUCGUUGCUUGCAGCAAUAGAUUAGCAUGCAGUGAGGCCAGAGAAUGUGAGUGUUGUAAAAUGCUAUCUAUGGCUUCUAAUAUUGGACCAGAAUAUGAAGCGGGUCUUUAAUCACAUCUGCCAAAAUUGCUAUAUAUAGAUCCAGUUAGAUUCCUUGUUGGUGGAUGUGAUAAGUGCAAGUUGAAGAAUGUCACAGGUUCAAACGAAUACAACAGUUGACUUUGAUAUUGGAAGACUGAAAGAGGCUUCUAAAUUCACAAUGUUUGAUUACCUAUAUGGUGCAGCACUUCAAUGCUUCCUAAAGGACAAGGUCUCAUGGUGGCUGGUUUGAAACUUCAUGAAGCAGGCAGAGGGCCAGAUAAUUUGGAUACACAAGAAGAACAGCUCUGCAUUGGGCAUCAAAUUUUGGAAGAUAGGACCGUCAAGAUCUUGGAAAUUAUUUAUAUACACCAGCACAUAUUAAUCCUUGUUAUAUUUUUGCCCUGAAGCUGGCCAGAUCAUGCGGCUUGUUCUGGUCAGGACUCACUGAACGGCGACAGUUAUUGGUGUUCGGCAAAUCACGUGAUCUCUCUUUAUGUGAUACCCACUCCAGAACCAGUUUGCACUUUCCAGUCUCUGCUUUUCACAACUCUCAGUCCUGUUCAACAACACUGCUGAUAAUCUGUUUGUUCGUCAGUUUGAAUAUGCAUAGCUGACUGAGGAAAAUGCUUUGUCGAAAUUGCCUUAAGCUUAUAAAAUACUAGAAAUACAAGCUUUUUUAGUAGUCUUGACUAUUCAAAUUGAAAAUAGGAUAUUAGCUUGACGAAUUGAUGGUGAUGCCUUCAGUUUUCUCUCCAGAUUGAAAACUCCUUCUCGAAUAAUUUUUUCCUUUUACAGGAGAGGAGACUGAUUGAAUUCGUUGGAAUUGGAGCAGCGCCAGGAGCUGUUGAUGAUUCAAGGCCUCAGUAAGUCUCGGAGGUCAAACGGUGCUCAUUCGGCUUCAAGCAUGGGGCAUAAGGGAAUUGUCGCAUAUGUGGUUGAAGCAACUUUUUAUUGGAUUUUUUAUAUUGGACUCUUUUUUGGACCAUACUCGUAAUUUGACUUUAUUGACUCAGAGAUGUUUCUGGCCCAUGAUUUACUUUUUCAUUGGGUUUUUCGAUA